GCUUAACACAUGCAAGUCGAGGGGCAUCAGGAAGAAAGCUUGCUUUCUUUGCUGGCGACCGGCGCACGGGUGAGUAACACGUAUCCAACCUGCCCUUUACUCGGGGAUAGCCUUUCGAAAGAAAGAUUAAUACCCGAUAGCAUAAUGAUUCCGCAUGGUUUCAUUAUUAAAGGAUUCCGGUAAAGGAUGGGGAUGCGUUCCAUUAGGUUGUUGGUGAGGUAACGGCCCACCAAGCCUUCGAUGGAUAGGGGUUCUGAGAGGAAGGUCCCCCACAUUGGAACUGAGACACGGUCCAAACUCCUACGGGAGGCAGCAGUGAGGAGUAUUGGUCAAUGGGCGCUAGCCUGAACCAGCCAAGUAGCGUGAAGGAUGAAGGCUCUAUGGGUCGUAAACUUCUUUUAUAUAAGAAUAAAGUGCAGUAUGUAUACUGUUUUGUAUGUAUUAUAUGAAUAAGGAUCGGCUAACUCCGUGCCAGCAGCCGCGGUAAUACGGAGGAUCCGAGCGUUGUCCGGAUUUAUUGGGUUUAAAGGGAGCGUAGGUGGACUGGUAAGUCAGUUGUGAAAGUUUGCGGCUCAACCGUAAAAUUGCAGUUGAUACUGUCAGUCUUGAGUACAGUAGAGGUGGGCGGAAUUCGUGGUGUAGCGGUGAAAUGCUUAGAUAUCACGAAGAACUCCGAUUGCGAAGGCAGCUCACUGGACUGCAACUGACACUGAUGCUCGAAAGUGUGGGUAUCAAACAGGAUUAGAUACCCUGGUAGUCCACACAGUAAACGAUGAAUACUCGCUGUUUGCGAUAUACAGUAAGCGGCCAAGCGAAAGCAUUAAGUAUUCCACCUGGGGUGUACGCCGGCAACGGUGAAACUCAAAGGAAUUGACGGGGGCCCGCACAAGCGGAGGAACAUGUGGUUUAAUUCGAUGAUACGCGAGGAACCUUACCCGGGCUUAAAUUGCAGUGGAAUGAUGUGGAAACAUGUCAGUGAGCAAUCACCGCUGUGAAGGUGCUGCAUGGUUGUCGUCAGCUCGUGCCGUGAGGUGUCGGCUUAAGUGCCAUAACGAGCGCAACCCUUAUCUUUAGUUACUAACAGGUUAUGCUGAGGACUCUAGAGAGACUGCCGUCGUAAGAUGUGAGGAAGGUGGGGAUGACGUCAAAUCAGCACGGCCCUUACGUCCGGGGCUACACACGUGUUACAAUGGGGGGUACAGAAGGCAGCUAGCGGGUGACCGUAUGCUAAUCCCAAAAUCCUCUCUCAGUUCGGAUCGAAGUCUGCAACCCGACUUCGUGAAGCUGGAUUCGCUAGUAAUCGCGCAUCAGCCACGGCGCGGUGAAUACGUUCCCGGGCCUUGUACACACCGCCCGUCAAGCCAUGGGAGCCGGGGGUACCUGAAGUACGUAACCGCAAGGAUCGUCCUAGGGUAAAACUGGUGACUGGGGC
rnacentral:rRNA from 1 species